GAUGAACGCUAGCGGCAGGCUUAACACAUGCAAGUCGAGGGGUAACAUGGGUAGCAAUACCUGAUGACGACCGGCAAACGGGUGCGGAACACGUACAGAACCUACCUUGAUCUGGGGCAUAGCCCGAAGAAAUUCGGAUUAACUCCCCAUAAUAUAAUUGGAUGGCAUCAUUUGAUUAUUAAAAAUUUAUUGGAUCGAGAUGGCUGUGCGUCCCAUUAGCUAGUGGUAGGGUAACGGCCUACCAAGGCGACGAUGGGUAGCUGGUGUGAGAGCACGACCAGCCACACGGGCACUGAGACACGGGCCCGACUCCUACGGGAGGCAGCAGUGAGGAAUAUUGGUCAAUGGACGCAAGUCUAGAA
rnacentral:rRNA from 1 species